GCGCCAAUAGCUCAGUUGGUAGAGCACCGCCCUUUUAAGGCGGGGGUCGCGGGUUCGAGCCCCACUUGGCGCA
rnacentral:tRNA from 1 species